CCUCAAUUGCUAGAGCAGCGGACUCUUAAUCCGGAGGUUCAAGGUUCGAUUCCUUG
rnacentral:tRNA from 1 species